rnacentral:rRNA from 1 species
CUAGGACACCUUAUCACCUUGAACACACUUGAUCUUGUCUGAUCUCAGAAGCUAAGCAGGGUCAGGCCUGGUUAGUACUUGGAUAGGAGACAAUUAUAUUUUGAUAAUAUAUUGGA